UUGCAGGUGAUGGGGGAAGACAUCACAAAUUGGUGACCGUCAGUUGGUGGCAUCACUGGAUUUGUUUUUGAGAAAAGCAGCUUUAAGGACUCACUGCUGCACAGACAAGUCGGAAGAGGCUGGAAACAGGGAAACAUGUUAAGAAUGCCUGCUGCCGCAUGCUGAGGACCAGAAGACAAAAGCAUGGUGGUGAAUCAAAGUUGCAGUUCAAGCCCUAAAAGAGAAUUUCUAUUAAAAUGGACAACAGAUGUGAACAAAGAAAAGAAACAGAUCAAAGAUGUGAACUCCAUCCAUGAGAUUAUUUGCAAACACAAAGCAGGAUAUGGUUGACCUCAGAAUAGGAAUUCAGAAAUCUCCCUGCCUGCCUCUUUGCCACUAAGAAAACAGACACUGGUUCCCCAAACCCCUGAUUAAGAAAGAAGCUGGAAGACCAUGCAGAAGUGUUUUCAGACUGA